AUUGAACGCUGGCGGCAUGCCUUACACAUGCAAGUCGAACGGCAGCAUGAUCUAGCUUGCUAGAUUGAUGGCGAGUGGCGAACGGGUGAGUAAUACAUCGGAACGUGCCCUGUAGUGGGGGAUAACUAGUCGAAAGAUUAGCUAAUACCGCAUACGACCUGAGGGUGAAAGUGGGGGACCGCAAGGCCUCAUGCUAUAGGAGCGGCCGAGGUCUGAUUAGCUAGUUGGUGAGGUAAGGGCUCACCAAGGCGACGAUCAGUAGCUGGUCUGAGAGGACGAUCAGCCACCCUGAGACUGAGACCCGGCCCAGACUCCUACGGAGGCAGCAGUGGGUAAUUUUGGACAAUGGGCGAAAGCCUGAUCCAGCAAUGCCGCGUGUGUGAAGAAGGCCUUCGGGUUGUAAAGCACUUUUGUCCGGAAAGAAAUGGCUCUGGUUAAUACCUGGGGUCGAUGACGGUACCGGAAGAAUAAGGACCGGCUAACUACGUG
rnacentral:rRNA from 1 species